AUGCCAGCAAAUUUGGAAAACUCAGCAGUGGCCAGAGGACUGGAAAAGGUCAGUUUUCAUUCCAAUCCCAAAGAAAGGCAAUGCCAAAGAUGCUCAAACUACCGCACAAUUGCACUCAUCUCACAUGCUAGUAAAGUAAUGCUCAAAAUUCUCCAAGCCAGGCUUCAGCAAUACAUGAACCGUGAACUCCCUGACGUUCAAGCUGGUUUUAGAAAAGGAAGAGGAACCAGAGAUCAAAUUGCCAACAUCCGCUGGAUCAUGGAAAAAGCAAGAGAGUUCCAGAAAAACAUCUAUUUCUGCUUUAUUGACUAUGCCAAAGCCUUCGACUGUGUGGAUCACAAUAAACUGUGGAAAAUUCUCAAAGAGAUGGGAAUACCAGACCACCUGACCUGCCUCUUGAGAAAUCUGUAUGCAGGUCAGGAAGCAACAGUUAGAACUGGACAUGGAACAACAGACUGGUUCCAAAUAGGGAAAGGAGUAUGUCAAGGCUGUAUAUUGUCAGCCUGCUUAUUUAACUUCUAUGCAGAGUACAUCAUGAGAAAUGCUGGGCUGGAAGAAACACAAGUUGGAAUCAUGAUUGCCAGGAGAAAUAUCAAUAACCUCAGAUAUGCAAAUGACACCACCCUUAUGGCAGAAAGUGAAGAGGAACUAAAAAGCCUCUUGAUGAAAGUGAAAGAGGAGAGUGAAAAAGUUGGCUUAAAGCUCAACAUUCAGAAAACGAAGAUCAUGGCAUCUGGUACCAUCACUUCAUGGGAAAUAGAUGGGGAAACAGUGGAAACAGUGUCAGACUUUAUUUUUUGGGGCUCCAGAAUCACUGCAGAUGGUGACUGCAGCCAUGAAAUUAAAAGACACUUACUCCUUGGAAGAAAAGUUAUGACCAACCUAGAUAGCAUAUUCAAAAGCAGAGACAUUACUUUGCCCACUAAGGUCUGUCUAGAAAAGGCUAUGGUUUUUCCUGUGCUCAUGUAUGGAUGUGAGAGUUGGACUGUGAAGAAGGCUGAGCGCCGAAGAAUUGAUGCCUUUGAACUGUGGUGUUGGAGAAGACUCUUGAGAGUCCCUUGGACUGCAAGGAGAUCCAACCAGUCCAUUCUGAAGGAGAUCAGCCCUGGCAUUACUUUGGAAGGAAUGAUGCUAAAGCUGAAACUCCAGUACUUUGGCCACCUCAUGGGAAGAGUUGACUCAUUGGAAAAGACUCUGAUGCUGGGAGGGAUUGGGGGCAGGAGGAGAAGGGGACGACCGAGGAUGAGAUGGCUGGAUGGCAUCACAGACUCGAUCGAUGUGAAAGUGAACUCCGGGAGAUGGUGA
rnacentral:lncRNA from 1 species